GUGGGGAAUCUUAGACAAUGGGGGAAACCCUGAUCUAGCCAUGCCGCGUGAGCGAUGAAGGCCUUAGGGUUGUAAAGCUCUUUCAGCUGGGAAGAUAAUGACGGUACCAGCAGAAGAAGCCCCGGCUAACUCCGUGCCAGCAGCCGCGGUAAUACGGAGGGGGCUAGUGUUGUUCGGAAUUACUGGGCGUAAAGCGCACGUAGGCGGACUGGAAAGUCAGGGGUGAAAUCCCGGGGCUCAACCCCGGAACUGCCUUUGAAACUGCCAGUCUUGAGUUCGAGAGAGGUGAGUGGAAUUCCGAGUGUAGAGGUGAAAUUCGUAGAUAUUCGGAGGAACACCAGUGGCGAAGGCGGCUCACUGGCUCGAUACUGACGCUGAGGUGCGAAAGCGUGGGGAGCAAACAGGAUUAGAAACCCGGGUAGUCC
rnacentral:rRNA from 1 species